UCUUCUAUGUGUCAUGCUGCAUGCACUUUGCUGCUUCAAAUGCCACCUGUACCUCCAAACAUGGAACAAUCAUCUUUCCCUUGCAUGACAAGUGUAAAUUCUCCAUUCCUCUUUUUGUAUCCAUUAAUUUCUUCUACAUGCCCUGUAUAUAUACACACUGCAAUAAAUUAUCACACAAUAUCGAUCUAGGAAACGUAAAGCAUCAAAAUCAAAGUGCAGAAUCAUGAGUCAAGAACAGCCACAGAGACCACAAGCAGAGCAAUUCUCCGAGCAAGAACCCAUCAAAUAUGGUGACGUUUUCAACGUCUCUGGUGAAUUAGCCUCACAACCAAUCAAACCAAGAGACGCAGCUCUCAUGCAAGCCACAGAGAAUCAAGCCC
rnacentral:lncRNA from 1 species